GGGCCCGUAGCUCAAUGGAAGAGCAACACCCUUUUAAGGUGAUGGUUGAGCGUUCGAAUCGCUCCGGGCUCA
rnacentral:tRNA from 4 species